AGCUUGCAACGAUUGAAUUGGGGGGUCUGCUACCAAUCUGACAGGUGUACCUGUCAUAAUCUUGGCAGGUCCCGUACACGAUUAGUUGCCUGCA
rnacentral:misc_RNA from 1 species